AUGUUUCUGACACUAGCCUUGUGGAUCUGGCACCUGUCGCAGGUGCACAACCAGCACAUACGCGCUACAACGAGCAGCAUCAAGGGAUUUGGUUUGGGUGAUUAUAUACACGUCAUGACACCCUCUCCUCUACACGUUGAUGUCAAAUUCCCUCCUCCAAGAGCCAAUUGCAGGUCAAAGCAUUCUGCUAUGAGUCAGUUGUUUAAUAUUAUUAUUCUAAAUCUCAAGCACAUGAUGGUGCUCGCUAUAUCAGUUAUGCUGUCUCCAUGGGAGUUUUACAUUUUUCUGACCAGAUGCAUAAGGCUCCCCUAUUUCUUAUUUGUUUCCAAACAUGGUAGCCCUUUUGUAGAGGCUUGUGAAGAUGCCAUUUAUGUACCUCUCUUACCGGGAAAUGUCUCCUAG
rnacentral:rRNA from 1 species